UACGUAGGCAGCAAGCGUUGUUCGGAGUUACUGGGCGUAAAGGGUGUGUAGGCGGUUGGAUAAGUGUGGUGUGAAAUCUCCCGGCUUAACUGGGAGGGUGCGCUACAAACUGUCUGACUAGAGUGUGGGAUGGGUAAGUGGAAUUCCUGGUGUAGCGGUGAAAUGCGUAGAUAUCAGGAGGAACACCGGUGGUGUAGACGGCUUACUGGACCAUAACUGACGCUGUGGCGCGAAAGCUAGGGGAGCGAACGGG
rnacentral:rRNA from 1 species